rnacentral:lncRNA from 1 species
GGAAUCAGGCACGAAAGACAAGACUUUCUUGAGCACAAGGUUCCUCGGAACACACGAAGCUUGAUCUUCUUGUCGAAUGCUUUUUCACUCCCUGCUGAUAUGACUGACCAUGACACAUGGUAGUUGAUCUCUUGUUUUUGCUUGAAUUCAGCAUCAGUCAACUUGGGACUUUGAGGGUGCUAUCUUUCUUUUGUUUUUUUUUUGAUUUUGCUUUUGAUUUCUUUUGAUUUCUUUUGAUUUUUUUUUCUUGGAUUUUGCACCCUCCUCUUUU